rnacentral:rRNA from 1 species
GACGAACGCUGGCGGCGUGCUUAACACAUGCAAGUCGAACGGUGUGGCGAACGGGUGAGUAACACGUUGGUGAACUGCCUUACACUUCGGGAUAAGCUUGGGAAACUGGGUCUAAUACCGGAUAGUGCAAGAUUAGCUCGAGGCCUAUCAGCUUGUUGGUGGGGGAAGGGCCUACCAAGUGGUCGACGGGUAGCCGGCCUGAGAGGGUGUACGGCCACAUUGGGACUGAGAUAGUGCCCAGACGCCUAUGGGAGGCAGCAGUGGGGAAUAGUGCACAUUGGGCGGAAGCUAGAUGCGGCGACGCCGGGUGGGGGAUGAACUCCUUCGGGUUGUAAACUCCGUUCGUCAGGGACGCGGUACCUGUAUAAGAAGCACCGGCUAACUACGUGCCAGCAGCCGCGGUAAUAC